GACGAACGCUGGCGGCGUGCUUAACACAUGCAAGUCGAACGGAAAGGCCCUGCUUUUGUGGGGUGCUCGAGUGGCGAACGGGUGAGUAACACGUGAGUAACCUGCCCUUGACUUUGGGAUAACUUCAGGAAACUGGGGCUAAUACCGGAUAGGAGCUCCUGCUGCAUGGUGGGGGUUGGAAAGUUUCGGCGGUUGGGGAUGGACUCGCGGCUUAUCAGCUUGUUGGUGGGGUAGUGGCUUACCAAGGCUUUGACGGGUAGCCGGCCUGAGAGGGUGACCGGCCACAGUGGGACUGAGGUACGGCCCAGACUCCUACGGGAGGCAGCGGUGGGGAAUAUUGCACAAUGGGCGGAAGCCUGAUGCAGCAAUGCCGCGUGCGGGAUGACGGCCUUCGGGUUGUAAACCGCUUUCGCCUGUGACGAAGCGUGAGUGACGGUAAUGGGUAAAGAAGCACCGGCUAACUACGUG
rnacentral:rRNA from 1 species